UUAAUUGAGACAUGAAGCUAAUGUAUAGUUAUAUAAAUAGAGAUUUGUACCUGCUUAUCCGCUUAUACUUGUUAUUUGACUGAAUGAAAUUUGUUAGGCAUCUAUUGAUUGCGUUCGGUGGACUUGCUGGGUUGGAAGAGAGCAUUGAAGAGGAUCGUAACUUAAAGGCAAAGAAUGUGCGCGAGGUGUUUGACAUAUAGCGGCCGGGUGGUUAUCUUGUGGAACUGAGUUUGCUUGACUACUGCUGUGUUCUUAUAGCAGGUUCAUUCCUGGCUGAAUAAAUAAGGAAGCAAUUUGCAAGCAGUUAAAGAUAAAUAUAUGCAAGCAAAGCUGAUGGUCAUCAACCGCCAUUAAGUAUACAUUUACUAGCCACAAGCUGUGUUCAAGGUUCUGCACAGAACCCCGGAUAUACUAGAAAUAUUAUCUGCAGAAGGAAAGGAAUUCCUCAGUUUGUGCUUCAAAAGGAACCCUGCAGAGAGGCCAUACUUGAUCAUCCUUUUGUACGAAAUUCAAAUGAUCAAAAUGUCUUAUCUCAUACUCGGGCUUUUUCUAGUAAACCUAUUGGGACCUUCUGCGUUGGUUCCUAAGCUCCAUUGCCAGUUUGCCACACCCUUGUGAUUUUCUCUCAACCUCCAAGCACCUGCUCUUAAUAUUUCCAGCACGUAUGAGGAUCCCUCACCGAAGGAUGAGAUAGUGAGGCUGGCAAAGGAACCAAGCAUAGCAAAAUGGAUGAAGGAUGUGAGGAGAGAAAUCCAUGAAAGCCCAGAACUUGCUUAUGAAGAAAUCAAAACAAGUGCAGUCAUUCCAGGUUUUGUUCAAGCCAAAAACAGCUGAAGGCUAAGAGCCAUCGAGAAUAAUGAUGUUUUUGAUUCAUGUAGCUAGCUAGGAAUGCUCUUGUUUGGUGCAUUAUCUAGUUACUUGAAUGUUUGGA